AUUGAACGCUGGCGGCAUGCUUUACACAUGCAAGUCGAACGGUAACAGGCCGCAAGGUGCUGACGAGUGGCGAACGGGUGAGUAAUGCAUCGGAACGUGCCCAGUCGUGGGGGAUAACGCAGCGAAAGCUGUGCUAAUACCGCAUACGAUCUAUGGAUGAAAGCGGGGGACCGUAAGGCCUCGCGCGAUUGGAGCGGCCGAUGUCAGAUUAGGUAGUUGGUGGGGUAAAGGCCCACCAAGCCAACGAUCUGUAGCUGGUCUGAGAGGACGACCAGCCACACUGGGACUGAGACACGGCCCAGACUCCUACGGGAGGCAGCAGUGGGGAAUUUUGGACAAUGGGCGCAAGCCUGAUCCAGCAAUGCCGCGUGCAGGAAGAAGGCCUUCGGGUUGUAAACUGCUUUUGUACGGAACGAAACGGUCUGGGUUAAUACCUCGGGCUAAUGACGGUACCGUAAGAAUAAGCACCGGCUAACUACGUGCCAGCAGCCGCCGUAA
rnacentral:rRNA from 1 species